rnacentral:rRNA from 1 species
UACGGAGGGUGCAAGCGUUUAUCCGGAUUCACUGGGUUUAAAGGGUGCGUAGGCGGAUUGGUAAGUCCGUGGUGAAAUCCCCGAGCUUAACUUGGGAACUGCGUCUGAUACUGGAUGGCUUGAAUCCGGGAGAGGGAUGCAGAAUUCCAGGUGUAGCGGUGAAAUGCGUAGAUAUCUGGAGGAAUACCGGUGGCGAAGGCGGCAUCCUGGACCGGCAUUGACGCUGAGGAGCGAAAGCCAGGGGAGCAAAGCGGG